CCAGCCAAAUAGGAGUAUUGUGCAUUUUUGACUACUUUCUAUACAGCUAUGAGAAAAGCUGUUGCUUUGUUCGGUUGUUGUCGUUCGAAACCACUGCAAUCUUUUGCAUCAGCAACCCAAGGGAGUGGAGAUCAAGUCACCUACAUAGCUACCCGUCAUGAAAAGCAGAUGGAAAAAUUGACUGGUGGAAAUAAAGAAUGCUAUUGAACACAGUCUUUGGAAUUCCUGCAGCAGAACAGGCGAGUACAACACACACACACAUUGCGCCGACGCGGACUCUUCGAGUAUUUGCUGCUCUAAAUAAUUAUAAAAAGUGUUGUUAUUAAGCUAUUUUUAAAUGUUUGCAGGUGUUAUAAAUAUAAUAUAAGUGUUGUCACAUUAGUGGAAGUGUUAGUGAAGUGUUAAACAAGAUUAAACGGGACCUCACGCCAGCCUGCGUGAGCUAAAACGCAUGCCUUUCGGCUUCCUCUCAAAACCGGGUUGGCUCUCUUGCCAAUCGACAACAGGUCUGUAUGCUGUAGUGAGAGACCCAUCAGUAUCAGCAGAGUCAUUCUUCUCAAAAACGGCGGCAAACAUUACCAGUGUUUAUGAGGAAUGACAUUUUGAUGUUACACUAUGUGUAGAAAUUAAUGACAUUAUGGCAUAGUCUGCAAAAUGGUGGUUAAUUUUAACGUAAUUUAUGACAUAAAAUUGAUGUUACAGUGUGUAACUGUUUCACUAGCAUUUUAUAAUGUCAUGGCACAUUCUGCAAGGGGUGGAAAACAUUUGUUCUUCCACUCCUUUAUGGUAAUUAUGUGUGUUGGAAUGUCAUCAAAGUUAAAAGUGGUAGCCAAUAUUACGAUAAUUAAUGUUCCAAAAUGAUGCCAUCAAGUCUGAUACCUUAAUUAACAUUAUCAACAUCAAAGUAUUGGACAUAUCCGGCCCAAUAGCUGAACAGUCAGCACGUUGGAUUGCCACACACAGGGGCCCGGGUUUGGUGACCGGCUGGGGAGGGAGAUUUUCUCCCCCCAGAGACUGGGUGUUGUGCUGUCCUCAUCAUCAUUUCAUGCCCACUGUCGAUGUGCUAGUCGCCCAAUGUGGCAUUGCACUCAAUAAGACUUGCAGUUGGCAGUCAAACUUCUCGACUGGGAACUCCCGGCCACUGAUGCCAUACGCUCAUUUCCAUUUCCAGUGUUGGAUAUAUUUUGAAUGCACCCAGUAGAUGGAAAUGGCUGAAUCUACCCCAUGCCUGUGAAUACCAGCCAUCUCCAUCUGCUGAAGCUGAUUCCCAAUCACCUCCUCAGUCCCGAUAUAAUUUAUUCAUCAAAUUUAACCAAAUGUAAUGACUGAAAAGGAAAUCAAAAUAAUUACAUAUUUUAACUGAUUAUAAAAGAAAUAAAAUAAAAUAAAAAUAAAAUCUCAAGCAUGAGAAAAAAUUUAGAUUUGUGAGUAAAGGGAUAAAAUUUUUUAAAAAAUUCUAAAAAUAUUCUUACUUUUUAAAAAUGUAAUAAAACCUUUUCUUAUAAAUUAAACCACAGAAUAUGACUAACAUAUGAUAAGAAUUUAAGUUUGACUAAAAUAUUUUUAAUGAGGGAAAAAUAUUUUUAACAAACCAAGAGAGAAAAAAGUCAAAACUAAUAUUUACAAAACCAUUUUUAAACCAUCUUUAAUUAUAGAAUAUUUUAAAAGCAAGGAACACAGAGUACUGAAUAUAUACUAAAUUAUAGUGAUGAUAAUUGGUAUGAAGAUCAGGAAUUUGUUUUUAAUUAUAAAGAAUGUAUUAUAGAUAUUUGUGAACACGAGAAAAAUCAAUUUUUUUUCUUUUUUGUAACUUUAAAAGAAUUUGAGAACUAUCAGAAAGAUAUUGGUGAUUUAUUAUUAUACAUUUAUUGUGAUAAUUAUAUUUGUUUAUCAAAAACUCUUGUGAAUAUUGUGAUUUGCAAAUGUAAUUAAAGAUUAUAUAAAAUUUUAUAUAGUAUUUUUACAAGUUUCUCACUCAAUAACCAA